rnacentral:rRNA from 1 species
GACGAACGCUGGCGGCGCGCUUAACACAUGCAAGUCGAACGGAAAGGCCUGCUUUCCCUUGUGGAUUGCGGGUACUCGAGUGGCGAACGGGUGAGUAACACGUGAGUGAUCUGCCCCCAACUUGGGUAUAAGCCUGGGAAACUGGGUCUAAUUCCCGAUAGGACUGCAGGGUGGUGCCUGUGGUGGAAAACGAUUUUCUAGUGGUUGGGAUGAGCUCGCGGCCUAUCAGCUUGUUGGUGGGGUAAUGGCCUACCAAGGCGGCGACGGGUAGCCGGGCUGAGAGGGUGGACGGCCACAGUGGGACUGAGAUACGGCCCAGACUCCUACGGGAGGCAGCAGUGGGGAAUAUUGCACAAUGGGCGGAAGCCUGAUGCAGCGACGCCGCGUGGGGGAUGACGGCCUUCGGGUUGUAAACUCCUUUCGACCGCGAGGAAGCCACCUGGUUGGAAGGGUGGUGACGGUAGUGGUAGAAGAAGCACCGGCUAACUACGUG